rnacentral:lncRNA from 7 species
ACCAUGAUAGUGGACGAAUAGCUAAGAACCCGUAAUGGGCGUAUCGCACCGCCACCGUCCAAUUAUCACCGCUCGUCAUCGCCAAAUAGUCCAACUUGCCUUGCCGCCCACUGAUGUCACCCGAUCCGCCAUCCACCAAUUCUUCACCGGCGAGCGGUGAAAGAAAACAGAGAGGACGACGACGUCCAUUGCUAAAGCACGCUUAUAACAUCAGCCGUCGGAUGGCAUCGAUUCUCCACGCAACGGACGGCCAAUAACAACCGUCUGAUGCAGCAUGUAUGCUACUGAGUACUGACUUCCAAAAUAAUUCGAAAUCCAUUUAGUUUGAUUAUUUAGGAUAAAACAAGAAUUCUAUUGUGUGUGCUGUCUUUUGGUUCAUGAAUCAUGAUUUAGUCAACACUACAUUUUAUGCUUGCUUGUUCAGCUAAGGACAUGUACAGUGGUGACUCUUGAGGUGUUUAAAAAAUGAAUUAUUUGCAAAAAAAAAAUUGUGGAGCUGUCUCUCCGUGAAGAGACGCAUCUGACUUGUAACUCAAGUAGCAACAGAUGCCUUACCUUCCACUGUACGAAUUCGUCAUCGGUUCUAUCGAUCCGAUGAUGUACAAGCGUAUUUAUUUCUGUAUUUAUUAAUAAACUACAU